UGUGUGGAACCGUCGUCGAUGGA
rnacentral:miRNA from 1 species